UACAGAGGUCCCAAGCGUUUGUUCGGAUUCAUUGGGCGUAAAGGGUGCGUAGGCGGUGAUGUAAGUUGGAUGUGAAAUCCCAGGGCUUAACCCUGGAACUGCAUUCAAUACUGCGUUGCUAGAGUACUGGAGAGGAGAUUGGAAUUCACGGUGUAGCAGUGAAAUGCGUAGAUAUCGGGGAGGAACACCGGUGGCGAAGGCGGUUCUCUGGGCCUUACCUGACGCUGAGGAGCGAAAGCGUGGGGAGCGAACAGG
rnacentral:rRNA from 1 species